rnacentral:rRNA from 1 species
UUGUCUUUCCCUCCCUUCGGGGUGGGAUUACAAAAGAUAACAGAUCUUUCAUGAUCAUGUGAUGGGUGGUGCAUGGCCGUUCUUAGUUCGUGGAGUGAUCUGUCUGCUUAAUUGCGUUUCAAAUUUUAUAUUUGUUAACAUGCGAGUCUUCAAUGACGGCCACUCCACCUUAUAGACAUUAUAUGAUAUGCACAUUUGUGUAUUUGAUUAUAACUUGUCUGGAGUCUGGCUCGAUUUUUUUGACUCAAUUGAACGCAACGGACGUGAUUGCAAGUCCUUGUUGAACAAAUUAUAUAUAUACUACUUCAUCAUUAGUAUAUAUAGUUCGCUUCUCAUGUCGUAGCAGUCAAACGGGCGGGCGUCUUAAUUGGCGCGGUCACGAGGCUUAAUAUGCUGCGGCUGGGAAAACUUGGGCGACCGCUGUAAUACUUCUCUCUUAAACCAGAGGAAGAUUGCGGCAAUAACAGGUCUGUGAUGCCCUCAGAUGUCCCGGGCCGCACACGUGCUACAUUGAUUAGCGCAGUGCGCAUACUUACAUAUAGAUCAUUGAUUGGUUAUUUAUAACCGUCAAUAUCGCCUUGUCUGAAAGGACUAGGUAAUCUAUUGUAAGUGCUGGUUCCUCCUCCCGUUGAGCAUUUUAAUAAUGGUCUCUCUACAUCCCUAGCACAUGAUGUCUAG